CCAGACUCCUACGGGAGGCAGCAGUGAGGAAUAUUGGUCAAUGGGCGGGAGCCUGAACCAGCCAAGUCGCGUGAGGGACGACGGUCCUAUGGAUUGUAAACCUCUUUUGUCGGGGAACAAAGGCGCCCACGGGUGGGCGGAUGAGUGUACCCGAAGAAAAAGCAUCGGCUAACUCCGUGCCAGCAGCCGCGGUAAUACGUAGGGGGCAAGCGUUAUCCGGAUUUACUGGGUGUAAAGGGAGCGUAGACGGCGAUACAAGUCUGAAGUGAAAGCCCGGGGCUCAACCCCGGGACUGCUUUGGAAACUGUGUUGCUGGAGUGCUGGAGAGGCAAGCGGAAUUCCUAGUGUAGCGGUGAAAUGCGUAGAUAUUAGGAAGAACACCAGUGGCGAAGGCGGCUUGCUGGACAGUAACUGACGUUGAGGCUCGAAAGCGUGGGGAGCAAACAGGAUUAGAUACCCCCGUA
rnacentral:rRNA from 1 species